rnacentral:rRNA from 1 species
GACGGAGGGCGCAAGCGUUGUUCGGAAUUACUGGGCGUAAAGCGCACGCAGGUGGCCCUUUAAGUCCACUGUGAAACUCCGGAGCUCAACUCCGGACAUGCAGUGGAUACUGGAGGGCUAGAGACCGGUAGAGGCUAGCGGAAUUCCAGGUGUAGCGGUGGAAUGCGUAGAUAUCUGGAAGAACACCAGUGGCGAAGGCGGCUAGCUGGGCCGGUUCUGACACUCAUGUGCGAAAGCGUGGGUAGCAAACAGG